rnacentral:misc_RNA from 1 species
UACGGAGGAUCCAAGCGUUAUCCGGAAUCAUUGGGUAUAAAGGGUCCGUAGGCGGGAUAAUAAGUCAGUGGUGAAAGUCUGCAGCUCAACUGUAGAAUUGCCAUUGAUACUGUUGUUCUUGAGUGUUUAUGAAGUGGUUAGAUUAUGUAGUUUAUCUGUGAAAUGCAUAGAUAUUACAUAGAAUACCGAUUGCGAAGGCAGAUCACUAAUAAGAUACUGACGCUGAUGUACGAAAGCGUGGGUAGCGAACAGU